rnacentral:rRNA from 1 species
CCCUUAGAUGUUCUGGGCCGCACGCGCGCUACACUGAUGCAUUCAACGAGUUUCUUCCUGGUCCGAGAGGAAUGGGUAACCUUUUGAAAGUGCAUCGUGAUAGGGAUAGACUAUUGCAUUUAUUGGUCUUCAACGAGGAAUUCCUAGUAGACGUAGUUCAUCAGACUGCAUCGAUUACGUCCCUGCCCUUUGUACACACCGCCCGUCGCUCCUACCGAUUGAAUGCUCAGGUGAGCCAUUCGGACUUUCAUCAUGCUGGUUUCCAGUUUUGAUGAAGGAAAGUCUUGCGAACCUUAUCAUUUAGAGGAAGGAGAAGUCGUAACA